GUCUCAGUGGCGUUGUGGUUAAUGCACGAGCUCCGGUUAGGCGCCGGACGCGGGUUCGAAUCCCGCCUCAGAUA
rnacentral:tRNA from 1 species